GAGGUGAAAUUCGUAAAUAUUAGGAGGAACACCAGUGGCGAAGGCGUCUAUCUGGUUCAAAUCUGACGCUGAGGCGCGAAGGCGUGGGGAGCAAACAGGAUUAGAUGCCCUGGUAGUCCACGCUGUAAACGAUGAAUGUUAAAUAUGGGAAGUUUUACUCUCUGUAUUACAGCUAACGCGUUAAACAUUCCGCCCGGGGACUACGGUCGCAAGAUUAAAACUCAAAGGAAUUGACGGGGACCCGCACAAGCGGUGGAGCAUGUGGUUUAAUUCGAUGCAACGCGAAAAACCUUACCACUCCUUGACAUGGAAAUUAUACCUAUUCGAAGGGAUAGGGUCGGUUCGGCCGGGUUUCACACAGGUGUUGCAUGGCUGUCGUCAGCUCGUGUCGUGAGAUGUUGGGUUAAGUCCCGCAACGAGCGCAACCCUCAUCCUUAGUUACCAUCAGGUAAUGCUGGGGACUUUAAGGAAACUGCCAGUGAUAAACUGGAGGAAGGUGGGGAUGAUGUCAAGUCAUCAUGGCCCUUAUGGAGUGGGCUACACACGUGCUACAAUGGUGGCUACAAUGGGCUGCAAAGUCGCGAGGCUAAGCUAAUCCCUUAAAAGCCAUCUCAGUUCGGAUUGUACUCUGCAACUCGAGUGCAUGAAGUUGGAAUCGCUAGUAAUCGUGGAUCAGCACGCCACGGUGAAUACGUUCUCGGGUCUUGUACACACUGCCCGUCACGCCAUGGGAAUUGGUUUCACUCGAAGCUAACGACCUAACCGCAAGGAGGGAGUUAUUUAAAGUGGGAUCGGUGACUGGGGAGAAGUCGUAACAAGGUAGCAGUAGGGGAAUCUGCGGC
rnacentral:rRNA from 1 species